UUUUCUUGGCUUAGUAAGAUCAAAUGUCAUACAAGAAAUUGCAAAUUGUGUGUAGCGUUUUUUUCCUGAGAAACCUGAGGGUCUUCAAGUUUUUGUUCUAACAGCUAAUGUUAAUUGCAAAGUGACUCCAGACAGCAUAACUUGGCAGUGAAGCAAAGAGGAAGAUACUCAGAGAGCACUAUUGAAGAGAUCUAUAGCACAUAAAACCAUUAUGAUGAAAGGCCAGCAAAGCAGAUGUCAGGCUGAGUACUGAGAUCAAUGUGAAACUGGAAAUCCACAGUAUGCAGGAACUGCAAACCUCUGAGCUUCAACCAGACUCAAAGCUUUUUGGGGGAGAAAUGGUGCUAGAGUUCUCUCUGAUGCCUGCUGUAUGAACCUUUGGGCCUUAGAAGCCCUGGGACCCAGCCUAACUCUACAGCUGCUAAAAUGGAUUUUGGUACAUUCAUUUCUUGUUCAUCUUCAUCAGCCUUCAUCACAAUAAGUAAUGUAUGUAGUAUUUCCUGAUGAAGUCAGAAGACUGAAG